rnacentral:tRNA from 1 species
CGAAAGGUAGCUUAAACAAAGCAUUUCGCUUACACCGAAAAUAUAUCUGUUAAACCCAGAUCCAUUCGA